UCCAUAGACCAGAACUAUUUACUGUUGCGUGGACAUUUUGGAUAUUUUAAUUUAAGUAAGAAAUCUAAACACACUAUGUAUGUAUUCAUUACCAGAUUUGCCAAUAAAUGUACAGCUUCUGUAUAACUGAUAGUGAUUUUGAAACAUGUUCUAUAUUUUUAAAAACAUUGUUAGAUACACGUAGUUCCGUGUACGUUUAGAUGAUCCGUAUUUUCGUUUAAAUCAGUUAACGAGAAAACGAAAAAACGCCGUUUUUGUUGUCAAAAUCGAAAAAUGAGAAAACCAAAUUUAAAUAAAUGGCCCGGUUUUGCUUGUUUUGGCUAUUUAUUUUGCCCUUUUUCCUUCUGAGGGACGAAGUGAAGGAUGUGACCCAAAAGUAAAAGCAAAUACUUCAAAAUAAAAGCCUGCCAGCCAGCCAGACGGACAGAGUGAUGUUUACCCUCGCUACCAGUAUGAUAGUAUUCAACUCUAUGCCUGGUUUGCUCAUAGGCCUUUAAUUGUCCAGGUUAUUGAUAGAGAUGUACCGAAUGAUAUUCGUUUCAUCUGGUAUUUGUUGGUUUAUUUGCAACAUUUUUAGGCCUGUAUACAGCAUGUAUUUUAUCUGUAUGUUUUAUCAUUUCAGAGUCAUGAAAUCCGCUUGCGCACGUCAGUAGCGUCAAUCAUGACCCUGUUUAUGGGAGAAGGGUCUAAAUGUCUAACUGCAGACCCUCAGACCACUACACGACACGCACACCCCACUACACGACACACCCCCUCACACUACACGACACGCCUUCUCAACUCUGAUUGGGUCACCGAAGAGACUGCGUCUGAAACGUGAUGACGUUACGUUGGCGAUGAAGAAGGAUGAAGAGAGAGGACCUCGAGUUUAAAAACAACACAAACAACACAAAACAACGUGUUCUACUCGCACAAUGACGGAAGAAAAGAGCAACACUACUUUAACUGAGAACGGAGUACGGUGGAUACAGUGCCUACAAAUGCCACCUUGACUGUGUGCAAAGCAGCCAUUAUCACUGUGACUGUCAGUUUAAAACCUGCUGCAAGACAGCAACCACAAAUAUUACUGCAACUUUGCCAUCCACGGUGACUCCAGCGUCCACACUCCAGCAACUCCAGAGCAACACUCUAAGACGACCCACCGCCUGUCCUCAGGAUCAGCCUUGAAAGAAGGCGCUCAGGCUGCACUGUGGUCAGUAAUACAUGCUGCAUGGAUUGUUACAAAAAACUGAAUAACAGAAAUGAACUUAUGUUGUUAGUAGAUGUGUCUCAUGAGGGUUAUUUAUUCUUAUUAUUGUUUUAUGUCAUGUUCAUGUGUGUCUUUAGUCUGUUGGCUAUUUGAUUUUUACCCCACACGACGCACAUUUUUAGUCUUUUUCCUUGUAGAUUGUUUUAUUUGAUUCAGGAAUGGUUGUUCAUCUGUAAUAAUAAACUUUUGAAAUGGUAUCGUUUGCUGGUUUGUUAUGACACAAUACUUAUUAUGACCUGUU